GAUGAACGCUGGCGGCGUGCCUAAUACAUGCAAGUCGAGCGAACAGAUCAGGAGCUUGCUCCUCCGACGUUAGCGCCGGACGGGUGAGUAACUCGUGGAUAAACUACCUAUAAGAAUGGGAUAACUUCGGGAAACCGGAGCUACUACCGGAUAAUAUAUUGCACUUCAUGGUUCAAUAGUGUAAGACGGUUUUGCUGUCACUUAUAGAUGGAUCCGCGCCGCAUUAGCUAGUUGGUAAGGUACCGGCUUACCAAGGCAACGAUGCGUAACCGACCUCAAAGGGAGGACGACCAGACUGGAACAGAGGCACAGUCCAGACACCGACGGGGAGCAGCAGUAGAAAAUCUUCCGCGAAGGGCGAAUGCCGGACGGAGCGACACCGCGUAAAGGAUGAAGGUCUUCGGAUCGUAGAACUCUGUUAUUAGUGAGGAAGAAAUGUGUAAGUAACGAUGCACGUCUUGACGGUACCUAAACAGAAAGCCACGGCUAACUACGUG
rnacentral:rRNA from 1 species